rnacentral:rRNA from 1 species
AACGAACGCUGGCGGCAUGCCUAACACAUGCAAGUCGAACGAGACCUUCGGGUCUAUUGGCGCACUGCUGCCUAGUGGGUGGCGACCUGCCAUUAGGUUCGGAAUAACUCCCCGGAAGGGGUUCUAAAACCGGAUAGUGACUUCGUACCAAAGAUUUAUCCCCUUUGGAUGGGGCCGCGUUGGAUUAGCUUGUUGGUAGGGUAAGAGCAUACCAAGGCGACUAUACAUAGCUGGUAUGAGAGGAUGAUCCGCCACACUGGGACUGAGACACGGCCCAGACUCCUGCGGGAGGGGGCAGAGGGGAAUAUAGGAAAACCGGGGGUAUCAAGAGCCAGCAAGGCCGGGUGAGUGAUGACGGCCGGAGGGUUGUAAAGCUCUUUUAUACGUGAGGAUAAUGACGGUACCGGGAGAAGAAGCACCGGCUAACUCCGUG